rnacentral:rRNA from 1 species
AUUGAACGCUGGCGGCAGGCCUAACACAUGCAAGUCGAGCGAGCGGCGGACGGGUGAGUAAUGUAUGGGGACUGCCCGAUAGAGGGGUAUAACUUCUGGACACGGUGUCUAAUACCGCAUUCUAUGAGAUAACCCAUAUGGGAUUAGCGAGUAGGUGGGGUAAAGGCUCACCUAGGCGACGAUCUCUAGCUGGUCUGAGAGGAUGAUCAGCCACACUGGGACUGAGACACGGCCCAGACUCCUACGGAGGCAGCAGUGGGGAAUAUUGCACAAUGGGCGCAAGCCUGAUGCAGCCAUGCCGCGUGUAUGAAGAAGGCCUUAGGGUUGUAAAGUACUUUCAGCGGGGAGGCGUUACCCGCAGAAGAAGCACCGGCUAACUCCGUGCCAGCAGCCGCGGUAAUUC